rnacentral:rRNA from 1 species
AGUCGAACGGCAGCGCGGGGUAACCUGGCGGCGAGUGGCGAACGGGUGAGUAAUAUAUCGGAACGUACCCAAGAGUGGGGGAUAACGUAGCGAAAGUUACGCUAAUACCGCAUACGAUCUAUGGAUGAAAGUGGGGGAUUCGCAAGAACCUCAUGCUCCUGGAGCGGCCGAUAUCUGAUUAGCUAGUUGGUGAGGUAAAGGCUCACCAAGGCGACGAUCAGUAGCUGGUCUGAGAGGACGACCAGCCACACUGGAACUGAGACACGGUCCAGACUCCUACGGGAGGCAGCAGUGGGGAAUUUUGGACAAUGGGCGCAAGCCUGAUCCAGCAAUGCCGCGUGAGUGAAGAAGGCCUUCGGGUUGUAAAGCUCUUUUGUCAGGGAAGAAACGGUUGGGGCUAAUAUCCUCGGCUAAUGACGGUACCUGAAGAAUAAGCACCGGCUAACUACGUGCCAGCAGCCGCGGUAAUACGUAGGGUGCAAGCGUUAAUCGGAAUUACUGGGCGUAAAGCGUGCGCAGGCGGUUUUGUAAGUCUGUCGUGAAAGCCCCGGGCUCAACCUGGGAAUUGCGAUGGAGACUGCAAGGCUUGAAUCUGGCAGAGGGGGGUAGAAUUCCACGUGUAGCAGUGAAAUGCGUAGAGAUGUGGAGGAACACCGAUGGCGAAGGCAGCCCCCUGGGUCAAGAUUGACGCUCAUGCACGAAAGCGUGGGGAGCAAACAGGAUUAGAUACCCUGGUAGUCCACGCCCUAAACGAUGUCUACUAGUUGUCGGGUCUUAAUUGACUUGGUAACGCAGCUAACGCGUGAAGUAGACCGCCUGGGGAGUACGGUCGCAAGAUUAAAACUCAAAGGAAUUGAC